rnacentral:rRNA from 1 species
AGUUUGAUCCUGGCUCAGGAUGAACGCUGGCGGUCUGCUUAACACAUGCAAGUCGAACGGAGUACUUCGGUACUUAGUGGCGGACGGGUGAGUAACGCGUGAGGAUCUGCCCUCAGGAGGGGGACAACGACUGGAAACGGUCGCUAAUACCCAUAUGCCGAGAGGUGAAAUGUUUUUUCGCCUGAGGAUGAGCUCGCGUCAGAUUAGCUAGUUGGUGGGGUAACGGCCUACCAAGGCGACGAUCUGUAGCUGGUCUGAGAGGAUGAUCAGCCACACUGGGACUGAGACACGGCCCAGACUCCUACGGGAGGCAGCAGUGGGGAAUUUUCCGCAAUGGGCGAAAGCCUGACGGAGCAAGACCGCGUGAGGGAUGACGGCCUAAUGGUUGUAAACCUCUUUUCUCUGGGAAGAUAAUGACGGUACCAGAGGAAUAAGCCUCGGCUAACUCCGUGCCAGCAGCCGCGGUAAUACGGAGGAGGCAAGCGUUAUCCGGAAUUAUUGGGCGUAAAGCGUCCGUAGGUGGUUAAUCAAGUCAGCUGUUAAAGAGCGGAGCUUAACUCCGUUAGAGCGGUUGAAACUGAUUGACUAGAGUUUGGUAGGGGUCGAGGGAAUUCCCAGUGUAGCGGUGAAAUGCGUAGAUAUUGGGAAGAACACCGGUGGCGAAAGCGCUCGACUGGGCCUGGACUGACACUGAGGGACGAAAGCUAGGGGAGCGAAAGGGAUUAGAUACCCCUGUAGUCCU